rnacentral:rRNA from 1 species
UCCCCUACGGGACGCAGCAGUGGGGAAUAUUGGGCAAUGGGCGCAAGCCUGACCCAGCAACGCCGCGUGAAGGAAGAAGGCUUUCGGGUUGUAAACUUCUUUCGACAGGGAAGAGUAGAAGACGGUACCUGUCGAAUAAGCCACGGCUAACUACGUGCCAGCAGCCGCGGUAAUACGUAGGUGGCAAGCGUUGUCCGGAUUUACUGGGUGUAAAGGGCGUGCAGCCGGGAGUGCAAGUCAGAUG